rnacentral:lncRNA from 1 species
UUUUUAAAAUACUUCUUUUAAGAUUUGAGAAAUAGAGUAUUCAAUCAUUGACUCUACCACACAGAUGUUUUUACAAAUAUCAAUUUGUUUCUCUUCCCUCUUAGAUAGUGAGCACACUGUAGGCAGAUCUGAUUUUUUUUUUUUUUUUUUUCCCCUCAGAAUUGGUAGGCACUAGACACCUUUUUAGUAAGUGAAUAAAUAUGUGUCUAAUUCAGAAAGGCCUGAAGGAUUGUUUUAAAAAUACACAUUUUGCUGGUUAGGCUUUGAGAUAAACAUACAUGAAAAGUGCAAUGAAGACACACAUCUUGUUGAGAAAUAAAGUUUUAGGUGAAAAGGUGAAUAGUUAAGAAUCUGCAAAUAUAGAAAAAUCAAGAUGUACAAGGGUUAUUGUGUUGAAUUAUAUUGGACCUUCAAUCUCAAAUGCCAUUAACAACAAUAUGGGCAAUAAGAAUGUUUUAAUCCUCACUUAUUGUGCUGUCUGACUCAGUAUUUAUACUUUUUAUUUGAUCUUCAAUAAAGCUCCCUUUGUUCUCAU